rnacentral:rRNA from 1 species
AUUGAACGCUGGCGGCAUGCCUUACACAUGCAAGUCGAACGGCAGCACGGGAGCAAUCCUGGUGGCGAGUGGCGAACGGGUGAGUAAUAUAUCGGAACGUGCCCAGUCGUGGGGGAUAACGUAGCGAAAGCUACGCUAAUACCGCAUACGAUCUACGGAUGAAAGCGGGGGAUCGCAAGACCUCGCGCGAUUGGAGCGGCCGAUAUCAGGUUAGGUAGUUGGUGAGGUAAAGGCUCACCAAGCCGACGAUCUGUAGCUGGUCUGAGAGGACGACCAGCCACACUGGGACUGAGACACGGCCCAGACUCCUACGGGAGGCAGCAGUGGGGAAUUUUGGACAAUGGGCGCAAGCCUGAUCCAGCAAUGCCGCGUGCAGGAUGAAGGCCUUCGGGUUGUAAACUGCUUUUGUACGGAACGAAACGGUGAGCUCUAAUACAGUUUGCUAAUGACGGUACCGUAAGAAUAAGCACCGGCUAACUACGUG